rnacentral:rRNA from 1 species
GAGAGAGACAUGCGCGCAUAUCAAUAAGCGGAGGAAAAGAAACUAACAAGGAUUCCCCUAGUAACGGCGAGUGAAGCGGGAAGAGCUCAAAUUUGAAAUCUUAAAGGGUUUCCCUUUACGAAUUGUAGUUUAAAGAAGUGUUUUCUGUUGAGGUUUUGGUAAAAGUUCUUUGGAAUAGGACAUCAUAGAGGGUGAGAAUCCCGUAUUUGACCUUUACUUUCAACUUUGUGAUACACUUUCAAAGAGUCGGAUUGUUUGGGAAUGCAGUCCAAAAUGGGUGGUAAAUUUCAUCUAAAGCUAAAUAUUGGCGAGAGACCGAUAGCGAACAAGUACCGUGAGGGAAAGAUGAAAAGAACUUUGAAAAGAGAGUUAAACAGUACGUGAAAUUGUCAAAAGGGAAGCGUUUGACACCAGUGUUGUUUUUCUGAAAAUCAAUUAAAGAACUGUUUAUGCUAAGUUGUUUAGACUUUAUCAGCUAACUGUUUAGUUUUGAGCUUUUCUUUAAUGCACUUUUCAGUUAACAAGUCAACAUCAAUUUCUUUUGCCUGUAAAAAAGCUUGAGGAAGGUGGCUUGAGAUUCGUCUUAAGUGUUUAUAGCCUCUUGCCUAUGCAGUCGGAGAGAUUGAGGUCUGCAGCGUAGAUCCUUCGGGGCUAAAUGCAUUUGUGCUAAGUUAUAGCAUUUUAUAGACAACUUGUUGACUAUGAUUUGUCUUGUAGCUUACUCGCUUAUGUUAUUUUACCUACGCUUAGGAUGUUGAGCGCAUGUCUCUCUCU